GCAAGUCGAACGGCAGCACAGGAGAGCUUGCUCUCUGGGUGGCGAGUGGCGUAAGGGUGAGGAAUACAUCGGAAUCUACUUUUUCGUGGGGGAUAACGUAGGGAAACUUACGCUAAUACCGCAUACGACCUACGGGUGAAAGCAGGGGAUCUUCGGACCUUGCGCGAUUGAAUGAGCCGAUGUCGGAUUAGCUAGUUGGCGGGGUAAAGGCCCACCAAGGCGACGAUCCGUAGCUGGUCUGAGAGGAUGAUCAGCCACACUGGAACUGAGACACGGUCCAGACUCAUACGGGAGGCAGCAGUGGGGAAUAUUGGACAAUGGGCGCAAGCCUGAUCCAGCCAUACCGCGUGGGUGAAGAAGGCCUUCGGGUUGUAAAGCCCUUUUGUUGGGAAAGAAAUCCAGCUGGCUAAUACCCGGUUGGGAUGACGGUACCCAAAGAAUAAGCACCGGCUAACUUCGUGCCAGCAGCCGCGGUAAUACGAAGGGUGCAAGCGUUACUCGGAAUUACUGGGCGUAAAGCGUGCGUAGGUGGUCGUUUAAGUCCGUUGUGAAAGCCCUGGGCUCAACCUGGGAACUGCAGUGGAUACUGGGCGACUAGAUUGAGGAGAGGGUAGCGGAAUUCCUGGUGUAACAGUGAAAUGCUAGAGAUCAAGAGGAACAUCCAUGGCGAAGGCAGCUACCUGGACCAACAUUGACACUGAGGCACGAAAGCAUGGGGAGCAAACAGGAUUAGAUACCCUGGUAGUCCU
rnacentral:rRNA from 1 species